GUGACCACAGUGUUUAACGGCCGCGGUAUCCUGACCGUGCGAAGGUAGCGUAAUCACUUGUCUUUUAAAUGAAGACCUGUAUGAAUGGCAUCACGAAGGUUCAACUGUCUCCUUCCCCCAGUCAAUGAAAUUGAUCUGCCCGUGCAGAAGCGGACAUAAAAACAUAAGACGAGAAGACCCUGUGGAGCUUUAGGCCAAGGAUCAAACAUGUAAAACAGACUCAAACCCUAAAAAGAAUAAUAAAAGUCCAAAAACCAAGAGUAACCUGAUCCUAAUGCCUUCGGUUGGGGCGACCGCGGGGGAAAAUAAAGCCCCCACAUGGAAUGGAACUACUUCCUAAACCAAGAGUUACAACUCUAAGUAACAGAAUUUCUGACCACCUAUGACCCAGGACAAACAUAAACCUGAUUAAUGAACCAAGUUACCCCAGGGAUAACAGCGCAAUCCUUUCCCAGAGUCCAUAUCGACGAAAGGGUUUACGACCUCGAUGUUGGAUCAGGACAUCCUAAUGGUGCAGCCGCUAUUAAGGGUUCGUUUGUUCAACGAUUAAUAGUCCUACGUGAUCU
rnacentral:rRNA from 1 species